AUGGGGCUCCCGUCUCCACAGGGUAUCCGCCCCGAGAUGCCCCUGAAGUCCCUGGUGAGGAAGCUGCAGGAGGCGCUGGUCACCUCCGACUUCCACACCAAGACGGAAGUGCUGAGCGCCAUCACCUACUUGGAGGACCAGCUGGAGGACAAGACCAAGAGGUGGAUCCAGUACACCCUGCUUGAAGUGCUGAAUGAGGAAGGCAACACCCCCUCGCUGCAGGAAAAGAGCCAGAGGAGGUUCAUCCUGGCCGCCCUGCGCGUUCUCCUGGACCUGGACAAGGACAGCCUGGACUUGAUGGUGGAGCUGAUGACCUGUUACCUGAUGGCGGCUCCCUGCAUCCGGAGGUGGAAGAAAGCGAGGAGGAGAGGCUGGGGAAGCACAGCUUGGAAGACCUCCAGAAGGCUUCUACUUCCCCUUCAUCUUCCCCCGCUACCUCAUGAAAGGCUUCGUCCCCUUUGUGAAGCUGCCUCUACCGAAGGUCACCUUGCAGCCGUUUCCAUCCCUUUCCAAGAGGCCGGCAGCGCCAAGGACUUUCACUGCCAGGCAGCAGCUGGUGCACAAGUACUUCAUCCCAAAGUUCUCCUACGCGGACAGCUACCCUUGAAGGCAGCGAGGCCCAGGAUGGAGCCGAGGGGCUUCCAUGGCAGCAACCGGACGGGUCCCGUGCUGAAGAGCCAGGUGGCACCAGCCUGGCACAUGUCCACGGGCUCCAAUCGACCAACCGGGUAGCAAUAAUCAGAGACUUCCAGAGGCAUUUCAUUUUAUUUACUUAAAGUGACAAGAACCCGAUUUAUGACACAUUUAUGAUAAGAUUUCCCGGCAAGGUGAGGGAGAAGCGCCAAUAAAGAGGAAAGCAGGCCAGUAGCGCUUUCACAGGGGGAAAAACUCUUUGGGCAGCUGUUCCGUGGGUGUCCUGCAGGGGGAGGGGGGGCUCGGGGGCGGUGAGA
rnacentral:lncRNA from 1 species